UACGUAGGGUGCAAGCGUUGUCCGGAAUCAUUGGGCGUAAAGAGCGUGUAGGCGGCUUGGUAAGUCCGCUGUGAAAGUCCAGGGCUCAACCCUGGAAUGCCGGUGGAAACUGUCAGGCUCGAGUCCGGAAGAGGCGAGUGGAAUUCCUGGUGUAGCGGUGAAAUGCGCAGAUAUCAGGAGGAACACCAAUGGCGAAGGCAGCUCGCUGGGACGGUACUGACGCUGAGACGCGAAAGCGUGGGGAGCAAACAGG
rnacentral:rRNA from 1 species